CAGGCAAUUCAGAAACAGGAAAUGAAGCAUUUAGAACAGCAGGGGUCCUCUCCCCCUGGUAAAUUUUAAAGCCCAGGUUCCCUGAGAUGCCAUUUCCUACAUUUUGACGGCAUUUUUGUGAAAGCAAAAGAAAGAUAACAUUUUCAAUUUCCCUGAGAAAGUGAGUGGAGUAUUGUUGCACUCCCAUUGAAACCCCCUAAAUUUGCGUUUCAGGGAAAGAAACAUGUCAAAAUGACAGAAUAACAUGAUCAACCCAUGAGCUUAAAAUUCUUUUGAUUCAGGUUCUGAGGUAUUCAAUUUUUGAAACUUGUAAAAUUUUUGUAACAUAGGUUUUGUCUGCUUUGUUUCAGCAAAGGCAGCUGCUUUUGUGUCAUCUGUUAGAAAUACAUUGACAGGUGGACAAUGAUGGCUCAAUUAAAGGUUUUCCUGGGGCAAAGAUGACUGAGGAAAACCUUUGGAAGCUGAAUGUGACAUAUUAGUUCCUGCUGCGAAUGAGAAACAGAUUACAAUUAAAAGUGCCCACAAAAUUAAAGCAAAGGUUAUUGCUGAAGGUGCAAAUGGGCCAACCACACCAGCGGCAGAAAAAGUUUUAAUUGAAAAUAAUAAACUUGUCAUUCCAGAUAUGUACUUGAACGCAGGAGGUGUGACUGUUUCCUGCCUCGAGUGGCUGAAGAACAUCAAUGAUGUCAGUUUUGGACGUCUGACUUGGAAAUACGAGAAGGAAGCAAACUUGAACUUUAAUCUUUUAGGUAUAAAGCGAUUUGUAUUCCAUGCUUGCUGAAACGUUAAAAUCUAUCGCAAAAUUAAAAUAAUUGGGUUUUUACUGGUUUUUCGAUAGCCACAAGAUCAGUUUAUAUAUAAUUUAGCCUUUUAAACCUGUUGUUGGUGACCUUCUCCUUUACAUGUAGCUGUUCUGUUUUGCGCUAAAACUGUUAGGGUGUGUAGGUGGCGCGGUGGCCUCAUGGUUAGUGUGCUC